rnacentral:rRNA from 1 species
UCAGCGGCGGACGGGUGAGUAACACGUGGGUAACCUGCCUGUAAGACUGGGAUAACUCCGGGAAACCGGGGCUAAUACCGGAUGCUUGAUUGAACCGCAUGGUUCAAUCAUAAAAGGUGGCUUUUAGCUACCACUUGCAGAUGGACCCGCGGCGCAUUAGCUAGUUGGUGAGGUAACGGCUCACCAAGGCGACGAUGCGUAGCCGACCUGAGAGGGUGAUCGGCCACACUGGGACUGAGACACGGCCCAGACUCCUACGGGAGGCAGCAGUAGGGAAUCUUCCGCAAUGGACGAAAGUCUGACGGAGCAACGCCGCGUGAGUGAUGAAGGUUUUCGGAUCGUAAAACUCUGUUGUUAGGGAAGAACAAGUACCGUUCGAAUAGGGCGGCACCUUGACGGUACCUAACCAGAAAGCCACGGCUAACUACGUGCCAGCAGCCGCGGUAAUACGUAGGUGGCAAGCGUUGUCCGGAAUUAUUGGGCGUAAAGCGCGCGCAGGCGGUUUCUUAAGUCUGAUGUGAAAGCCCCCGGCUCAACCGGGGAGGGUCAUUGGAAACUGGGGAACUUGAGUGCAGAAGAGGAGAGUGGAAUUCCACGUGUAGCGGUGAAAUGCGUAGAGAUGUGGAGGAACACCAGUGGCGAAGGCGACUCUCUGGUCUGUAACUGACGCUGAGGCGCGAAAGCGUGGGGAGCGAACAGGAUUAGAUACCCUGGUAGUCCACGCCGUAAACGAUGA